rnacentral:rRNA from 1 species
CCCUUAGAUGUUCUGGGCAGCACGCGCGCUACAAUGGUCUUCGCAAACGGAUGCAUUCUCGAAGGAGAAUGCCAAUCUUGGAAUCUAUGCCUUGGUCGGGACAGUUGCUUGCAAUUUUUCGACUCGAACCAGGAAUUCCUUGUAAUCGUGAUUCAUCACAUCACGAUGAAUACGUCCCUGCCCUUUGUACACACCGCCCGUCGCUCCUACCGAUUGGAUGGUUUAGUGAGACCCUCGGAUCGGUCCCGACUCGGGGUGGGCUUCUGCCCCGGUCGUGGUUUCGCCGAGAAGACGGUCAAACUUGACUAUCUAGAGGAAGUAAAAGUCGUAACA